rnacentral:sRNA from 1 species
AAUCUGGCUGAGAUUUCUGUCACCCACCCCAUUGAUCUCCAGGGUUGCUUCAGCUGAUUUGGCUGGCUACUCAAGUGUCCCCAUUC